rnacentral:tRNA from 1 species
AAGAAAGUGGCAGAUUAAUGCACUUAAUUUGAGCUUAAGUUAUAGAAAAUUAUUUUCUCUUUCUUAU